AACUUUUAGUAAUGGAUCACUUGGCUCUCGCAUCGAUGAAGAACGCAGCGAAAUGCGAUACGUAAUGUGAAUUGCAGAAUUCAGUGAAUCAUCGAAUCUUUGAACGCACCUUGCGCCCCUUGGUAUUCCGAGGGGCACACCCGUUUGAGUGUCGUGAAAAUCUCAACCUUCUCGGUUUCUUCUGGACACCGAGGAGGCUUGGACUUUGGAGGCCUUUGCUGGCGUCUCUCGCCAGCUCCUCUCAAAUGAAUUAGUGGGGUCCUCUUUGCCGAUCCUCGACAUGUGAUAAGAUGUUUCCAUGUCUUGGUUUAUGGCUCUGUUGCUUUUGGGACCCGCUUCUAACCGUCUCAACGAGACAACGUUCGAGCAUGUCGAACACUCUUGAACCCACGAACCCUUGACCUCAAAUCGGGUGAGACUACCCGCUGAACUUAAGCAUAUCAAUAAGCGGAGGCU
rnacentral:misc_RNA from 1 species